ACACGACUACAUUAGAUACCCCCGUAGUCCCAGCCCUAAACGAUGCGCGUUAGGUGUAUCGGUGACCACGAGUCACCGAGGUGCCGAAGGGAAACCGUGAAACGUGCCGCCUGGGAAGUACGGUCGCAAGGCUGAAACUUAAAGGAAUUAGCGGGGGAGCACCACAACGGGUGGAGCCUGCGAUUUAAUUGGACUCAACGCCGGGAAGCUCACCGGAUAAGACAGCGGAAUGAUUGCCGGGCUGAAGACUUUGCCGGAUUAGCUG
rnacentral:rRNA from 1 species